UACGUAGGGGGCGAGCGUUAUCCGGAAUUAUUGGGCGUAAAGGGUGCGUAGAUGGCAAUAUAAGUUUUAUGUAAAUUGUUGGGCUCAACCCAAUAGGGCAUAAGAUACUGUAUAGCUAGAGUAUUAAAGAGGCAAGUGGAACUCCAUGUGUAGCGGUAAAAUGCGUAAGUAUAUGGAAGAACACCAGUGGCGAAGGCGGCUUGCUAGUUAAAUACUGACAUUGAGGCACGAAAGCGUGGGGAGCAAACAG
rnacentral:rRNA from 1 species